rnacentral:tRNA from 1 species
CGCGCGCGAUGCGCGAAUUGGUAGACGAUCUGCGCGCGCUCUCCGCGCGGAUUCGCGAAGGCGGUGGCGCGGCCGCGCGUUCGAAACAUGUCGCACGCGGC